rnacentral:rRNA from 1 species
AGUGAACGCUGGCGGUAGGCCUAACACAUGCAAGUCGAACGGCAGCACAGUAAGAGCUUGCUCUUACGGGUGGCGAGUGGCGGACGGGUGAGGAAUACAUCGGAAUCUACUUUUUCGUGGGGGAUAACGUAGGGAAACUUACGCUAAUACCGCAUACGACCUACGGCUGAAAGCAGGGGAUCUUCGGACCUUGCGCGAUUGAAUGAGCCGAUGUCGGAUUAGCUAGUUGGCGGGGUAAAGGCCCACCAAGGCGACGAUCCGUAGCUGGUCUGAGAGGAUGAUCAGCCCAACUGGAAAUGAGACACGGUCCAGACUCCUACGGGGGGGAGCAGGGGGGAAUAUUGGACAAUGGGCGCAAGCCUGAUCCAGCCAUACCGCGUGGGUGAAGAAGGCCUUCGGGUUGUAAAGCCCUUUUGUUGGGAAAGAAAAGCAGCAGGUUAAUACCCCGCUGUUCUGACGGUACCCAAAGAAUAAGCACCGGCUAACUUCGUG